AACGAACGCUGGCGGCAUGCCUAACACAUGCAAGUCGAACGAAGCCUUCGGGCUUAGUGGCGCACGGGUGCGUAACGCGUGGGAAUCUGCCCUUGGGUUCGGAAUAACAGUUAGAAAUGACUGCUAAUACCGGAUGAUGUCUUCGGACCAAAGAUUUAUCGCCCAAGGAUGAGCCCGCGUAGGAUUAGGUAGUUGGUGGGGUAAUGGCCCACCAAGCCGACGAUCCUUAGCUGGUCCGAGAGGAUGAUCAGCCACACUGGGACUGAGACGCGGCCCAGACUCCUACGGGAGGCAGCAGUGGGGAAUAUUGGACGAUGGGCGAAAGCCUGAUCCAGCAAUGCCGCGUGAGUGAUGAAGGCCUUAGGGUUGUAAAGCUCUUUUACCAGGGAUGAUAAUGACAGUACCUGGAGAAUAAGCUCCGGCUAACUCCGUGCCAGCCGCCGCGGUAAAAC
rnacentral:rRNA from 1 species